AGAGAUGGAGAUCCCAGACAACUACAUUGAAUCUCUCCCCAAGGUACAAAUGAAGAAAUCAGAAGUCACCACGGCCUUCACAAAAUCUCUAAGUUUCCUUCAAAAAAAAGAAAAGAAAACAAGAAUCUCUAAUUAUGAUGUAAUAAUAAUAAAUAUUUGUUCACCACUCUGGUCUUUGGUAGAAUGGUAGAGCAAGCCUUGGGGACUCAACCUAUAAGAGCAUCACUUUCGAGUUUUUCGAUCCCGAACAGUUCCUUUCAACCAUGGACUUGUCAUCAGAGCAUAAAGUCCUUGACCUAAAGAACAGAAUAGAGGCAUCCAUCAUCAUUUGGAAAAGGAAGAUGCAUCAUAAAGACGGGAAGUCUUCCUGGGGUUCAGCAGUGAGCUUGGAGAAGAGGGAGCUCUUUGAAGAGAGAGCAGAAACAAUCUUACUGCUACUAAAACAGAGAUUCCCUGGACUCCCUCAAUCCUCUCUUGACAUCUGCAAAAUCCAAUAUAACAGAGUAUGAGUUUAGACCAAAUUAUUAUCUUUUAUCUAAAUGUGCCCCGAAUAAAUUUUUAACACAAACUUUUGUUCAAGGGUUCAAAAAUUGUUAGUAUUCUUUUCUAACCUGAUAUAACAUUACAGGAUGUGGGGUAUGCAAUUCUGGAGAGCUAUUCAAGGGUGCUUGAAAGCUUGGCCAACACUGUCAUGUCUCGCAUUGA
rnacentral:lncRNA from 1 species